GGCUGGCUGUCUCGCUUGUCUCCCUAGUGCGUCGUUCGAGGUUUGUCCCUUCUCGUUUCUCUAUUAUUACAAAUCGUGACGGGCAGCGAUUUUUCGAAAAUACGCGCGCUACUGCGACACACAUCGAUAUCAGUGUAAUUUCAUCAUAAUUUUCGAUUGACGUUACAACAUUACGAAGAAUGUUCGAACAUUUUCUAUAUGUACAAGUGAGUGACUCGAUGAACUCGUUGCCCGCGUGACACUUGAAUGUGAUUGUCGACGCGCGCGCGUAUAUUGCCGACACGCGGUUCGAUUGUCGCUUGACAGGUUCCCAUUAUGCUCGCUCGACAUUAGGAAUUGUGUGCAACAUUUUGUCAGAAACGUUAUUUGCCUAUGUAGUUCGCGUAAUUAUCUCGGAGGGCGCGACGGAGGAGAGAAACGCACGGAAUACGGAAGACGUGAUGUAUGUGCCAAUUGACAACUAACCUUUACGCGAGUGCACGCGUGUGCCGCGUGGUUAUCCACGAUCUGAAGUUUUCGCGGUUAUACGAAGCACGCGGUUAUUUGUGGCACGAGGAACUUCUUAGAGGAGAAGAAGCUAUAAAAGAUUGAUCAGUUGAAAGUGGAAAACGCUUCUCCGACCAGGCCCGUUAUGGAUUCCUAUCCGAUGGGGGCACUAUGCAGACCGAGGAAAUCGUGUCUCGCACACAAUCUACUGGUAUAGACGGUGGCCCCACAGACAGCGCCUCUUUGCAGCAUCAUCUGCAUCACACGUCGCACAUAAAGUGUCCGUUGCCACCUCUGCUCCACAUGGCAGUGAAGCAGGAGCCACAGGAGGAGGAGGAACGAAGUCGUGACACGAAUGCGUUGAGUCCGCAAGUAGAUGCAGACACCUCGCCGACGUCCGUCGAUGGGAAACUCGGGCAUGGACACGAAAUGGGCCAUCAUCAUCAGAUCCAGGAGCUUGAGGAAACUCCGGGGCAGACUGUUGCCGAUCUGAAUAAUCGAGGAAGGACGAGCCGUGGGCGCAGGAAGUCGCGAUGGAAGCUCAAGUUCCACCACCAAGCGUUGCCUCCGGAGUAUCUGGACCACUACGAGGCAUCCCUCGCCCAGGAGGCUCUGAACUCGUCGCCGACCCGACUGACGGAGCCGACCAUAGCCAGCCCAGCGCCAACCAGCUCCACCUCGACGCCAAGCCCCAUAGCCGACGUGCACGGUUGGUUGCAACGGAUCGCCGCGAUGCAGCAAGAGCUCUGCCCUCAGAUCUCGUCCGGCCAGUGCUCGACGAUGGGAGCACCUAACAACGCGCCGAAUCAAGCGUCGGUCUCGAGAAGAUCCGUGAUCACGUCCACCUCCUCUCACCCGCUCAACACCACCACCACCACCACCACCACCACCACUACCACCACUACCACCACGACCCACCACCACAAUCACAAUCAACAUCAAUCACAACAAUCCCCUUCCCAAGCGUGCCAAGCCAGGCCGCCCAUGAAGUACUCGGAUCUCCCUUACAUGGGCGAGAUCACGCUGGACAACAGCAAGCCGAGGCGAGGGAGGAAGCCGAAGAAGGCGGAUAUUUGCCACUUGAUAUACAAGAAUUACGGGACCAUACUGCCCGGAACCCCCGGCCACGAGGAGAGAAGGCUCUCCCCAAGGGGGGAGAAGCUUGGCGAUUGCCGAGAGAGGAUCUCCCCGCACGCGAUUCCGUUCCAGAGGUCGGACGUGCAGAACAGGAUCAGCAGCUUGUUGGAGAAGCGAUUGACGCAGGAGUCGCGACGGACGUUCGACGUUGUUGAGAAUUCGGGGACGAGGGAGCAGGACGAGCCUUUGAACCUGUGCAUCAGGGAUCUGAAUCAAUUGAAGAUCAGAUUGUUGAGGAAGCACGGGAACGUGUACGAGUCUGGACAGGUUAAGAGCGAGACGUCGAGCGACGGGGAGGAGGUCGAGUGCAUAGGAUCCACUUUCCCCUCCGAAACGAGCUAUCGCCCCUUGUUGGAUCCGUUGGUUGUUCGUAACAGUGGGAGCAACGUGAACCACAACAACAAUAUAAUAGACCCUAUGCUCGCUACCAAUCCGGGAUUCGUUUAUUGGCCCAACGCGGGCGUGUUUAUCCACCCGAUGGCGCUGCAGUCGCAGCUGCUCUACUAUCAAAAGAUGGCGCAGAACGACAAGUGUUAUCCGAGAGGUUUGGAUCAAGGGCCGAAAGAGCAGAGGAUCGUUCCUAAAUCGAUAUACUCCAUGAUGGAGGCGAAGAGCCCACCUCUCGUUCCCGCACCACCUGCCACGGUUCAACCGUUGACACCCGUCCAAACGGUCCCCCAGGUCCAACCUCCUGUCUCGCCCAGGCCGAAGAGGAACGCGCCCGUUGCUCAAGCCCAAGGGCAGCCGACCAAGAGGAAACGUUCCGCCAUAUUCAUACCGCCUAUGCCCACGGAGAACAACAACAAUCCCGCGACAGAGGUGAGCAUAUGCAAGUUCAAGUUCACAGGUGGGGCGAAACCUAGCCUCCAAGAGAAGAAGAGCCUGUCCGUCGAUUCUGGGGGCAACUUCAGGUAUUACAGCGGUACCGGGGACAAGAGUAUGCGUGGAUACGAGUUCUUCCCCCGCGAAGCUCUUCAACAGUCAGCCGGCCAGUCGGCCUCCUCGACAGGCGCCUUCCUCAACGCGGCCGGGGAAAGGAUUCAACCGCCCCCCUGCCAGAGGAGCGGGGGCAACAACCAGGAGGAGGGUCGUCGCAAGAGGAAGACGCGAAAGUCGUUGCAGAGGGAGAAAUUGGAGCAAACGUUCAAGGAGAAGGGGUUCCUGAUCCAGACGCAGCAGUUGGAAUCCGCGGAGGGCGCCACCUAUUGCAAGUUUAGACAACUUAGAAAAUUCACCAGAUACUUGUUCAGAAGCUGGAAGGACUAUCUGCCGGGGAACGUGCGCGAGUUGACCGGGGCAACGGACAACGAGAUUGGAGACGGAGACGCGGAGAGCGACACGAACGUGUUACAGUCCCCUGUUCCGAAUAUGGUGGACGUGCCGCCAGCCUUCGUCGACGAGCACCGCGCCCUGCCUCUCACGUGAGACGGCCACGAGGCGAUCGGUCGGUUCUAACUUCACGUUAACUUCAACCACGGUUCUCGGGGCCAAGAUCAGGGAAAUCGGUGAUGGAUCACGUUGCUUCGAUCGAGGAAGCAACGUGAGGUGGGGUAAGAGGGAUGGAGAGGAGGCAAGUCGAACUCGAUGUAAGUUUUUUAAGGAUGUAAAGAUUUUUGAUAAAAAAAAAAAAGAUUGUGCUCGCGAGAUGGACGAUCGGGAAUUAUUUGAAUUAGGAAGUUUUAAGAUUCGAUGGGUUGUUUCAAGUUGUUUCAAUAUCAUUGGAAAUGGAUUUCAAGAGAAUUAUCAUAUUAUUGUGAAAAGAGGAAAUGUGUCUCUCUUUUUCAGAGAGAAUUUUUCACGAUGAAAUAUAUAAAAGAUUGUAAAGAUUGCGACUGACAAUGGGAAUUAGGAAACGAUAGAUUCAGUUGAUAGAUUAAACGUGAAAGACAAUUGCUUAACUUUCACUUUGUACUCAUGAUUAAUAAUAGGUAACUGUUAAUGUCAUAACGUUUAAGUAUCGAAACUUUAUAACACCUUAAAAAUGCAUAAAUGGUAUACACAUGGAAUAAAAAGUAGAUUUUUUUUUUAAUUUUUCAAUUCACAUUUUCUUUCUUGAAUUUGUUUAUUUAAAAAUUUAUUAGUUUAUUUUUUUUUAAAUUUUAUUAAAAAUUGAUAUAUUACGAGGCAGCUUGUUGAUUUGUUAUUAGGAAUGUUAUUAGGAAUGAAAAUUUUUUUUAUUAGUUAAAGUAUAUUUCCAUGAUUUUAUUUAAACCAAUAAUAAUCAAUAAAGAUUUUUAAAUUAUCAUCUAUUAAUAUUAUAUUAUCUCGUGAGCUUGUAUUGACUCUUGACCGAGCAAAAAAUUAAUUAAAAUUCGAAAAAAAUACAAUAACGAUGUUGACCAGUUGCUAUGACAUCAUUAUAUCUAUUAUUGUAGAUAAUUAAUCUGUGUAAUAUGAUUUACUGGUCCUUGAAUAUUAAAAAAAAAAGAAAAAAAAAUGUGAAGAAAAAUCAUAAUAUCGACAAUUAUAAUUCACAAUGAACUAAAAAACAUACGAUGUUAAUUGACGUUUACUUACAUAAAUAAGUGAUAUAUAAGUCUGUGAUAUGUAGUAGUUCAUCUCAUAAAAAACACACACAAAAAACACUGAUCAUUCGUUUUAAUGUUCUUAAAAAUAUUCAAUUCAAAAACUAUCUAGAAAAAAAUAUAACAAUACAUCGAUUGAAAUUCAUUUAUCGAAUUUUCGAGAUUUAACGAAUUUAAUUUUAUGUUAGAAAUGCUUGUAAACAGCCCCCUAUGACCAAACCACGUUUACAUCAAGUCGAUUAAAUUUCAAUCGAACAAAGUAAAAUUUCGAUCGUUUACGAGUCAAAGUUGUUUCGAACGAGAAAAGUUAUGCAGAUCACCAGUUUUCAUUAAUGGAUUUAUACCAACAAUCUAUCACUUCCAUUUCAUUACCAUCUAAUAAAAAUAUCAUCAUCGCACGACUUAUAAAUAAAUACGUAUUAUUUCGUGAAUCAAACGAACGAACGUACAACUAUUAACAUAACCUUAUAACAAUGCGCGAUUGAUCGAUCGUUUCACUAGAAGAAUGAAAGAAAAGAAAGGAACGUAUAUCGGAUGAGAGAGCGGGAAAGAGAAUCGUAAAUGCUACCGCGAGCGAGGAUACGAAGAACAGAUGGCGUUCGUGUAUCGUCACGGUUAUAAUAAUAAUGUAAAUUCGAUCGUAGCUCCGUGCCAAAGAUGGGAGACUGGAAUGUAAAUAGCGCUGAAAGGACGUGUUUGUCGUAGUUAACCAAAGAGCGUGGUUUCGCCGAUUAGAAGCGGAUGCGAGUAAGGUAAUCUUCAUGUGUUAAGAAACAAGAGGCGUGACGCGAUAAAUUCAGCUUUCUAGGCGGCCUGCACGGGACGAAGCGAGACUUUCGUCGGCUUUCGAUUUUGCAAUGCAUUUCGUGCGCACCUAGAUGAGAACAGAGAAUGAGAACGAAAAAAGAAUCGAAAGAUUCUUCUUUGAGAGAGGAAAAAGAGAGAAAGAGAGAGAAAGAGAAAAAAGAAGAAAAAGGAAUAAAUAGAAACGGGAGAGUCCCGUAUAAUUAUACGAUUAUCAUGAUUAUUUUUUAAUCGUAAUCUUAUUUAAUAACGCCUAACGAAAUCUAGUCUUAUUUAUACUCUUUGUUAAAUCAAAAUCCGUGUUUUUUUUCUUUUUUAUUAUUAUUAUUAUUAUACGCACAGCGAUUUAUUUAUGUAUGUAUAUAAUUCUACACAAUUUGUGUCGGCGCGUGGCGUACAUCGGAAUGCAAUGAAUGGAGAGAAAUGUGUGGACUGUUGGCGAGAAUAAAAUUGAAAUUGCGUGGCGAUGGCUAGGUGACGUUCGAUGAAUUUAAGGAAUGUUGGAAUUGGGAAACGAUCCGUACCUGAGGCUUAUGGCGCUCUCCUUCGAUUUUUCACUUUCGAAUCGUCCUUUAUUCGAGAGUUUUGUAAAUGGUUCAGGUUUUAGAGACGCGCACGCGCCGACGAGUCUCCAUUGUUGGAGGAGAAAUUGCGCUCAAAAUGGCGACGAUUAACGGUGGAACGAGGAAAUGUGCAACAGGAACCGUCCUAUAAUCUGUAAUCGUUAUUAUCCUGUGCAGCGACACGUUAAACCAUUUUAUAUAUCGAAUCGAUGUACGAUUACGAUUUUUUGCUGCAAUUCAUUCGACUAAUAAAUUACUCUUGAAGAAUAAGAUUCACACGCAACUCAAGCUACGAUCUGAAAAAAAAUAAUGGAACAUCGAAGAACAACUUUUCAUUUGUCUUCCGAUACGUGACAACGAGAAAGAAAUUAACGUUGUACUUGUUAUGUACUUGUGCAAUGACUGUCGAAAAAUCUUAUUUCUUCCAAACAUCACGUUGACGUAUGAAAAACUCGUGCAACAAAGUACCAAUUACGGAUCCACUUGUAUCGCAAAACGAGCCAAGGAUCCAUGUGCAUCACACACGACACACCACUACGCGGCUUGGAAGGCCAGAGAGGGUGCUGUUUCGAAGUUGAGAAAUUAUGGAUGAAGGAUUCGAGAGAAAUUUGACGUAAAAAGAAAGAGAGAUGGAGAAGAU